rnacentral:rRNA from 1 species
GUCGAACGGUAACAGGUCCUUCGGGAUGCUGACGAGUGGCGGACGGGUGAGGAAUGCAUCGGAAUCUGCCUGUUUGUGGGGGAUAACGCAUGGAAACGUGCGCUAAUACCGCAUACGUCCUUUUGUCGGGAGAUGAUUGGAGAAAGUGGGGGACCUUCGGGCCUCACGCGAACAGAUGAGCCGAUGUCGGAUUAGCUGGUUGGUGGGGUAAAGGCCUACCAAGGCGACGAUCCGUAGCUGGUCUGAGAGGAUGAUCAGCCACACUGGAACUGAGACACGGUCCAGACUCCUACGGGAGGCAGCAGUGGGGAAUAUUGGACAAUGGGGGCAACCCUGAUCCAGCCAUGCCGCGUGUGUGAAGAAGGCCCUUGGGUUGUAAAGCACUUUUGUUGGGGAAGAAAAGUUUUCGGUGAAUAACUGGAGACGCUGACGGUACCCAAAGAAUAAGCACCGGCUAACUUCGUGCCAGCAGCCGCGGUAAUACGAAGGGUGCAAGCGUUACUCGGAAUCACUGGGCGUAAAGGGUGCGCAGGCGGCCUGCCAAGUCUGAUGUGAAAGCCCUGGGCUCAACCUGGGAACGGCAUUGGAAACUGGUGGGCUGGAGUACGGUAGAGG